rnacentral:tRNA from 1 species
GCCAGGAUGGUGAAAUUGGCAGACACGCUACGUUCAGGUCGUAGUCUCCUUUAAAAAGAGGUGGGGGUUCAACUCCCCCUCCUGGCA